UACAGAGGGUGCGAGCGUUAAUCGGAAUUACUGGGCGUAAAGCGUGCGUAGACGGCUAUCUAAGUCGGGUGUGAAAUCCCCGGGCUCAACCUGGGAACUGCAUUUGUGACUGUAGAGCUGGAGUACGGCAGAGGGGGAUGGAAUUCCGCGUGUAGCAGUGAAAUGCGUAGAUAUGCGGAGGAACACCGAUGGCGAAGGCAAUCCCCUGGGCCUGUACUGACGCUCAUGCACGAAAGCGUGGGGAGCAAACAGG
rnacentral:rRNA from 1 species